rnacentral:rRNA from 1 species
GACGAACGCUGGCGGCGUGCUUAACACAUGCAAGUCGAACGGAAAGGCCCUGCUUUUGUGGGGUGCUCGAGUGGCGAACGGGUGAGUAACACGUGAGUAACCUGCCCUUGACUUUGGGAUAACUUCAGGAAACUGGGGCUAAUACCGGAUAGGAGCUCCUGCUGCAUGGUGGGGGUUGGAAAGUUUCGGCGGUUGGGGAUGGACUCGCGGCUUAUCAGCUUGUUGGUGGGGUAGUGGCUUACCAAGGCUUUGACGGGUAGCCGGCCUGAGAGGGGGACCGGCCACAUUGGGACUGAGAUACGGCCCAGACUCCUACGGGAGGCAGCAGUGGGGAAUAUUGCACAAUGGGCGGAAGCCUGAUGCGACAACGCCGCGUGCGGGAUGACGGCCUUCGGGUUGUAAACCGCUUUCGCCUGUGACGAGGCGUGAGUGACGGUAAUGGGUAAAGAAGCACCGGCUAACUACGUG